CAUUGACAACUAUACCAUUAGUU
rnacentral:snRNA from 1 species